UAGCCUAGUGGUUAAGGCUAUGGAUCGCCAAUCCGGAGACGGCGGGUUUGAGUCCCGU
rnacentral:tRNA from 1 species